rnacentral:misc_RNA from 1 species
GUUUAUUAGAUUAUACGACCGCAUUACCAGCCGUUUCAUCAAAAUACUUUCAAAUCCUAAAGAUCAUCGUGUGUUAAUUAGUUGGUGUCGACGCCUCCUAGCGCACAGGCAAAUAAAUGCGCGCGCUAAAUGACAGCCGACCGAUGCAACCGUGUGUAUGUGGGUAGCCCAGUUUUUUUAGACAGGUGCGGAGCCACACCUCUUUUGGAAGGACAGCGGUGAAGCUGUACCUCCCAAGGUUAAAAUCAUUCAUGAUCCAUCUGCAGGUUCACCUACAGAUA